AGUGAACGCUGGCGGCAUGCCUAACACAUGCAAGUCGAACGGCCGCACAGUAAGAUCUUGCUCUUACUGUUGGCGAGGGGCGGACGGGUGAGGAAUACAUCGGAAUCUUCUAUUUCGGGGGUGAUAACGUAAGGAAAGUUAUGCUAAUACCGCAUAUGAUCUACCGGUUAAAUCAGGAGAGCUUCGGACCCUGCCUGUCUGUAUUAGCCGGUGCCGGAUUAGCUAGUUGGCUGGGUAAAGGCCCACCAAGGCGACGAUACGUAGCUGGUCUGAGAGGAUGAUCGGCCACACUGGAACUGAGACACGGUCCAGACUCCUACGGGAGGCAGCAGUAGGGAAUAUUCGGCAAUGGGCGCAAGCCUGAUCCAGCCAUGCCGCGUGGGUGAAGAAGGUCUUCGGGUUGUAAAGCCCUUUUGUUGGGAAAGAAAAGCUGCUGGUUAAUACCUCGCUGUUCUGACGGUACCCAAAGAGUAAGCCCCGGCUAACUUCGUG
rnacentral:rRNA from 1 species